CAGAGUUGCAAAACUCCCUAAAACCAUUGUGAACCUACCGCUAAACAGUUGCUUCGGCGGGUGGCCGGGCUCCGGCCGCCGAGCCCGCCGGAGGAAACCAAACUCUUUGUUUUUACCACUGGCCUCUCUGAGUACACUUAUAGAAAUAAGUCA
rnacentral:misc_RNA from 1 species